ACAUUGGUGGUUCAGUGGUAGAAUUCUUGCCUGCCACGCGGGAGACCUGGGUCCGAUUCCCGGCCAAUGAA
rfam:Danio rerio chromosome 4, GRCz11 reference primary assembly.